UAGCUAAUUUUUCUAUUUUUAGUAGAGAUGGGUUUUCACCAUGUUGGCCAGGAUGGUCUUGAUCUCUUGACUUUGUAAUCCUCCUGCCCCAGCCUCCCAAAGUGCUGGGAUUACAGGCGGGAGCCUCUGCACCCGGCCAAAAGCCAAAGAGCUGUUCU